ACUGCCCUCUCCAGAUCCAGAUCUCACUCGCUCCACUCUCGUUAUCAUCCCGAAACUUGUAAAGCGCAAGUUGGAGGAACGAGAAUGGUUUCCUUCGCGGUAUUUCAUUCCAAGAUGCUCUUCAAUGCUACCGCCCUCUUUCGUUGGUAACGACAUCACGACAAAAGCUCAGGACGUUCUCACCAUUGGCAGAAUUCAAACGCGCUGUUUUGUGCAAAUUACGCGCCAUGUUUAUAAGCUCAAGCACGAUCCGUCUAUUGAUCCAAACUUUAUCAGCAGACAUCUUCCUGAAGCGACUCCUAUUUUCUACGAUGUAUCGAGAAAUAUAUUCUUUUCGAAUACUAAACCGCACGAAAUAUGUCUUAAAUAAUCGCGAU